GAAGUGGUUGAUACCAUGCUUCCAAGAAAAGCUCCUAAGCUUCAGAUAACUGGGAACCGUACCCCAAACCGACACAGGUGGUUAGGUAGAGAAUACCAAGGCGCUUGAGAGAACUCGGGUGAAGGAACUAGGCAAAAUGGCACCGUAACUUCGGGAGAAGGUGCGCCGGCGAAGGUGAAGGGCUUGCCCCGUAAGCUUUUGCUGGUCGAAGAUACCAGGCCGCUGCGACUGUUUAUUAAAAACACAGCACUCUGCAAACACGAAAGUGGACGUAUAGGGUGUGACGCCUGCCCGGUGCCGGAAGGUUAAUUGAUGGGGUUAGCGCAAGCGAAGCUCUUGAUCGAAGCCCCGGUAAACGGCGGCCGUAACUAUAACGGUCCUAAGGUAGCGAAAUUCCUUGUCGGGUAAGUUCCGACCUGCACGAAUGGCGUAACGAUGGCGGCGCUGUCUCCACCCGAGACUCAGUGAAAUUGAAAUCGCUGUGAAGAUGCAGUGUAUCCGCGGCUAGACGGAAAGACCCCGUGAACCUUUACUAUAGCUUUGCACUGGACUUUGAAUUUGCUUGUGUAGGAUAGGUGGGAGGCUUUGAAGUGGGGACGCCAGUUCUCAUGGAGCCAUCCUUGAAAUACCACCCUGGCAACUUUGAGGUUCUAACUCAGGUCCGUUAUCCGGAUCGAGGACAGUGUAUGGUGGGUAGUUUGACUGGGGCGGUCUCCUCCCAAAGAGUAACGGAGGAGUACGAAGGUGCGCUCAGACCGGUCGGAAAUCGGUCGUAGAGUAUAAAGGCAAAAGCGCGCUUGACUGCGAGACACACACGUCGAGCAGGUACGAAAGUAGGUCUUAGUGAUCCGGUGGUUCUGUAUGGAAGGGCCAUCGCUCAACGGAUAAAAGGUACUCCGGGGAUAACAGGCUGAUACCGCCCAAGAGUUCAUAUCGACGGCGGUGUUUGGCACCUCGAUGUCGGCUCAUCACAUCCUGGGGCUGAAGCCGGUCCCAAGGGUAUGGCUGUUCGCCAUUUAAAGUGGUACGCGAGCUGGGUUUAGAACGUCGUGAGACAGUUCGGUCCCUAUCUGCCGUGGACGUUUGAGAUUUGAGAGGGGCUGCUCCUAGUACGAGAGGACCGGAGUGGACGAACCUCUGGUGUUCCGGUUGUCACGCCAGUGGCAUUGCCGGGUAGCUAUGUUCGGAAGAGAUAACCGCUGAAAGCAUCUAAGCGGGAAACUUGCCUCAAGAUGAGAUCUCACUGGGAUCUUGAAUCCCCUAAAGGGCCGUCGAAGACUACGACGUUGAUAGGUUGGGUGUGUAAGCGCUGUGAGGCGUUGAGCUAACCAAUACUAAUUGCCCGUGAGGCUUGACCAU
rnacentral:rRNA from 4 species